rnacentral:rRNA from 1 species
UACGUAGGGGGCUAGCGUUGUCCGGAAUUAUUGGGCGUAAAGAGCGUGUCGGCGGUCCGGUAAGUCAGCUGUGAAAGUCAAGGGCUCAACCCUUGAAAGCCGGUUGAUACUGUCGGGCUAGAGUCCGGAAGAGGCGAGUGGAAUUCCCGGUGUAGCGGUGAAAUGCGCAGAUAUCGGGAGGAACACCAAUGGCGAAGGCAGCUCGCUGGGACGGUACUGACGCUGAGACGCGAAAGCGUGGGGAGCAAACAGG